rnacentral:rRNA from 1 species
UACAGAGGGUGCGAGCGUUGUCCGGAAUCACUGGGCGUAAAGGCGCGUAGGCGGCUCGGUAAGGUUGCGGUGAAAGCCCGGGGCUCAACCCGGGUCGGCCGUGGCAACUGCUGAGCUGGAGCACUGUAGAGGCAGGUGGAAUUCCGGGUGUAGCGGUGGAAUGCGUAGAGAUCCGGAGGAACACCGGUGGCGAAGGCGCCACUCUGGGCCGAGACGUGACGCUG